CAUUGUCCCAAAGAGAGGAGAGAAAUCGAUCAAGAGGAUAGAGAGGGAUGAGAUAUGAUUGGAAAUGAAGAGGAGAAGAGGGUUUCGGAUUGAUUGUCAUGGAUUUUGCAAGUUAGGGCUUGAGAUUAUGAUGAAGAGAAAGAGGGUAUGUCGAGAGAGAGAGUUUGCUCUAGGAUUUAAGAUGGAGAUCCAAGAUUUUGGGCAGUUAACAGGAUGGAUUUGAGGGAUUGUGGUCGGUGGAGAGUUUAGAGAAGGAUUUCGGU
rnacentral:lncRNA from 1 species